GCGGAGUUUUUCGCAACUAGCAUAUCAAUAAGCGAGGAAAAGAAACUAACAAGGAUUCCCCUAGUAACUGCGCAGUGAAGCGCGGAAAAGCUCAAAUUUAAAAUCUGGCGGUCUUUGGCCGUCCGAGUUGUAAUCUAGAGAAGUGUUACCCGCGUCGGACCGUGUACAAGUCUCCUGGAAUGGAGCGUCAUAGAGGGUGAGAAUCCCGUCUUUGACACGGACUACCGAGGCUUUGUGGUGCGCUCUCAAAGAGUCGAGUUGUUUGGGAAUGCAGCUCAAAAUGGGUGGUAAAUUCCAUCUAAAGCUAAAUAUUGGCGAGAGACCGAUAGCGAACAAGUACCGUGAGGGAAAGAUGAAAAGAACUUUGGAAAGAGAGUUAAACAGUACGUGAAAUUGCUGAAAGGGAAACGCUUGAAGUCAGUCGCGUCGUCCGGGAAUCAGCCUUCCUUCUGGUUGGUGUACUUCCUGGUCGACGGGCCAGCAUCAGUUUUGACCGGUGGAAAAAGUUCGAGGGAAUGUGGCACCUCCGGGUGUGUUAUAGCCCUCGUUCGUAUACAUCGGUUGGGACUGAGGAACUCAGCACGCCGCAAGGCCGGGAUUCGUCCACGUUCGUGCUUAGGAUGCUGGCAUAAUGGCUUUAAUCGACCCGUCUUGAAACACGGACCAAGGAGUCUAACAUGCCUGCGAGUGUUUGGGUGGAAAACCCGAGCGCGUAAUGAAAGUGAAAGUUGAGAUCCCUGUCAUGGGGAGCAUCGACGCCCGGACCUGACGUUCUCUGACGGUUCUGCGGUAGAGCAUGUAUGUUGGGACCCGAAAGAUGGUGAACUAUGCCUGAAUAGGGUGAAGCCAGAGGAAACUCUGGUGGAGGCUCGUAGCGAUUCUGACGUGCAAAUCGAUCGUCAAAUUUGGGUAUAGGGGGCGAAAGACUAAUCGAAACCAUCUAGUAGCUGGGUCUGCGAGCUUCUCUCUCUCGGAGAAA
rnacentral:rRNA from 1 species